rnacentral:rRNA from 1 species
AAUCAACGCUGGCGGCGUGCCUCAGACAUGCAAGUCGAACGCGAAAGGUUCCUUCGGGAACCGAGUAGAGUGGCGCACGGGUGAGUAACACGUAGGUAAUUUGCCUUUGGGUGGGGAAUAACAGCCGGAAACGGCUGCUAAUACCGCAUAAUGCAGCGGCUCGACAUCGAGACAGUUGUUAAAGCGGGGGAUCGCAAGACCUCGCGCCUAAAGAGAAGCCUGCGGCAGAUUAGCUAGUUGGUAGGGUAAUGGCCUACCAAGGCGACGAUCUGUAACCGGCCUGAGAGGGCGGUCGGUCACACUGACACUGACAUACGGGUCAGACUCC